rnacentral:rRNA from 1 species
UGAACGCUGGCGGCGUGCUUAACACAUGCAAGUCGAACGAAGCAUUUGAUCUGAUUUUUCGGAAUGAAGAUCUUAUGACUUAGUGGCGGACGGGUGAGUAACGCGUGGGCAAUCUGCCCCAUACCGGGGGACAACAGUUGGAAACGACUGCUAAUACCGCAUAAGCGCACGGGACCGCAUGGUUCUGUGUGAAAAAACUCCGGUGGUAUGGGAUGAGCCCGCGUUGGAUUAGGUAGUUGGUGAGGUAACGGCCCACCAAGCCGACGGUCCAUAGCCGACCUGAGAGGGUGACCGGCCACAUUGGGACUGAGACACGGCCCAAACUCCUACGGGAGGCAGCAGUGGGGAAUAUUGCACAAUGGGGGAAACCCUGAUGCAGCGAACCGCCGCGUGAGUGAAGAAGUAUUUCGGCAUGUAAAGCUCUAUCAGCAGGGAAGAAGAUGACGGUACCUGCACAAGAAGCCCCGGCUAACUACGUGCCAGCCGCCGC